rnacentral:misc_RNA from 1 species
UUAAGUUCAGCGGGUAUUCCUACCUGAUCCGAGGUCAACUUUCAGAAGUGGGUUGUUUUACGGCAUGGCCGCGCCGCGUUCCAGUGCGAGUGUUAGCUACUGCGCAGAGGAGGACUACAGCGAGACCGCCACUAGUUUUCGGGGCCGGCAGCCCCCUGAGGGGCCGCGCCGAUCCCCAACGCCAGGCUGGGCCUGAGGGU